AUUUAAAAAUAAAAAAAUAAAAAAUAAAGUUGGAAUGACACAGAGAAGAGUAGCAUGGCCCCUACACAAGGAUGACAUACAAAUUAAUGAAGUGUUCCAUAUUUUA
ensembl:snRNA U6 U6 spliceosomal RNA